rnacentral:rRNA from 1 species
CCUACGGGUGGCUGCAGUGAGGAAUAUUGGUCAAUGGACGAGAGUCUGAACCAGCCAAGUAGCGUGAAGGAUGACUGCCCUAUGGGUUGGAAACUCCUUUUAUAUGGGAAUAAAACAGGGGAUGCAUACCCUCUUGUAUGUACCAUCUGAAUACGGAUCAGCUAACUCCGUGACAGCAGCCGCGGUAACACGGAGGAUCCGAACGUUACACGGAUUUCGUGGGUUUAAGGGGAGCGUAGGUGGAUUGUUAAGUCCGUUGGGAAAGGUUGGGGUUCAACCGUAAAAUUGCAGUGGAUACUGGCAGUCUUGAGUACAGUAGAGGUGGGCGGAAUUCGUGGUGUAGCGGUGAAAUGCUCAGAUAUCACGAAGAACUCCGAUGGCGAAGGCAGGUCACUGGACUGCAACUGACACUGAUGCUCGAAAGUGUGGGUAUCAAACAGGAUUAGAUACCCGAGUAGUC